ACAUGAGAGAAUUGUAUGACGAAGGUUCGUACCCCACUCGAGCACAGGAGCCUGGACGGCUUUGAACAUUAGAGAAUUGUAUGAGGUAGGUUCAGACCCCACUCGAGCACAGGAGCCUGAACACUAUUAUGGGGCUAGUUUGUCCUGAAUAAUGUUAGGCUCGUUUGCCAGCCUUUGACAAUAUUUUGGUCCAGCCCAAAUAAACCCAUAUUCCAUUAUAUCAAAAUGAACCCAAACAAAAUUGGCCCAUAUUCCCUCUAUAAAUUCAACUAAUCAGAAGCCGAAAGUCAUGAUGCCCUAAUCUCAUUUCCAAUCCGCCGACCACAUGAUGCCAUGCCCUCUCGUCUCUCAUGAUCAGAAGCUUUGCGUCAAAGCUCUGCAAAUGAUCCUAGCUGAGCUGAGUUUUGGUGUUCGAGCUAUGCUCGAGCUCGAUCAAACUCGACUCGGCCAGUGCUCGAACGAGCCCGGUUAGGCUGUUCGUUUAUGCAUACUAAUAUAUGAAUCUAUGUAUACAUACCCAGUGAUCUUCCAUGUUUGAUUUCCAAAUCUCAUUCCCUAUUUUGAUAUAUGCAUCUAUGAAUCUGUAAAUGCAUACCCAUUGAGAUUGAGUCUUGAUAUAAGUAUUUGACUAGUUUUCUCAUCACUGAGACUAGUGUGGAACUUUCAUUAAUGGUUCUCUCUUGUUCAGUUUUAGUGACGAAACAUAGAUCAUUGUUGAGAGCUUAGAAGAACCCACCAUUGCAUUGUUAAAGCUUCCCCAGUUUUCAUUCUUAAGAAGUAGGACUUUGUAUGCCUUUUUUUUUUUGAACUGCUGGUAGUGUGGAGCCUAUUAGGCUUGUAUAAGCACCAUAUACUGUAAUUGUUUAAUGCCUUGCUCAAGUAUUUGAAGUCCAGAAGUUAUAGGUUUAAAAAAAUAAUAAAAAAAUUGUUUUCCUUUUGGCAUUUUGGAGUACUCUGUAAGGACUAAGAAGCAACACAAAAUGAUGAAAUUUCUCAAUCUGAAUUCCAAUGUGGAAUCUGCAUUGCAGUAGCCUUCAAAGUUCUCUGAUUGUUUUGCUAGAUGAUAUUAUUUUCUAAAACAUGGUUGCAUUUGAUGUCGAGUCCCUUUCUGGAUGCUUAUUUCACAACUCUUAUGUCAUUUGUUGUGUUGGGGCAUUUGAUUAUUUGUAAUUCCAGAUAUGUGAAAUACUUAAAUUUGCUGCCUGGACUACUGAUCCCAAUGCUUUGUUUAAUUGCUUUUUGUCGCACCAAAAUACAUAGUCUGUUACUGUAUAAUCCUUUCAGACUAUACGAGCAUGGUGCCAUAGAAAUAAUUUUUCGUCGUUCAUUUGUUUUUUGACUCAUCUGUGUCAUACGACAGGACCAAUGAAAAUUUGGAAAAAGACAUCCAGCUAUGACUGUCAAAUUUCUAAACUUGGAUGUUAGAGUCCCACUAAUAAUGAUCCUUGUUGUCAGUCUAAUUCAAUGAGAUAUGUUUAGGGAUCAUUCUAAUUUUUUAAUAGACUUCUUGACACGAUCAAUGACCAUUUCUUUUUGUCACAUGGGAGAGACUCAAAGGCUGCUGUUCUAUUUUAUCUUUUAGAAUGAGGAAAUACUUUUAAGUAUGGUCGUCAAUAGUUGGCCCAUUUCUCUACCAGAUUUGGUUUCCACCAAUAUGUACCUUUUGGAGCACUUUUAAAUGUUAACAUGAUUAAUAUUGUUGCUGGUGAUAAUGUUACUGCUGUUCAUAUUAUUUUUUCAAAUUUAGCUAGCCAUUUUUUUGGAGUACCCUGCUAGAAGCAAAGCAAAAUGAUGAAAUUUCUUAAUCUGAAUUCCAAUGUGGAAUCUGCAUUGCAGUAGCCUUCAAAGUUCUCUGAUUGCUUUGCUAGAUGAUAUCACUUUCUAGGCAUGCUUGCAUUUGAUGUUCAAUAGCCAUCGAGUCCCUUUUUGGAUACUUAUUUCAUAACUCUCUCAGGGUUCCAUGAAAUAGUUCUUCCACUUAUUUAUUUUCAUAUGUGUGGGAUAGCUCUUUGCUUAUAACUUAAUAGGGUGUAUCUGAAAUCCAUUCUCUAAAGAUUUAGCAUCUUAAUAUAUAUUACUGCAGUGUCGGAUGUGUUAUGUUACUUAUAAAUAUUUAGCAAUUAAGUGUUCCCCAUGUCAUUUGUUGUGUUGGAUCAUUCUGUUACAGCAGUGUCAAAUGAAAUGGUCAUUCGAUUGUUUGUAAUUCCCCAUGUCUUAAUAUGUAUUACUGCAGUGUUGGAUUUGUCAUGCUUCUUAAAUUUGCUGCAUGGAUUACUGGUCCUAAUGUUUUGGUUAAUUGCCUUUUGUCAUGUUGACUAGGAUUUUGUUCUUAACAAGGAGUUAUUUCCACCUUUAUGAUUCAAAAUAAGAGAUGCAGAUCUUAUUCUUGUCUUCACUAAGUUAAGAAAGAAAAGGAAAGAUUUUGAGCACCAAAAUACAUAGUCUGUUACUGAAUACUCCUUUCAGACUUUACGAGCAUGGUGCCACAGAAAUAAUUUUUCAUGGUCAUUGUCUCUUGUCUCAUCUGUGUCAAACGACAAGACCAAUGAAAAUUUGGAAAAAGACAUCCAGCUAUGACUGCUGACUUACUUAACUUGGAUGCUAGAAUCCCGCCAUUAUUGGUCCCUUGUAUAUAUUCAUUUUCUGCAUUAAAUUGUUGCGAGUUUAAUUCAACUAGACAUGUUUAGGGAUUAUUCUGACCGCUUAAUAGAAAUGUUGGAUAUUUAUUUGACAUGUGCAUUGAUAAGUGACCAAAUGGGACAGACUCAAAGAUUGCUGCCGUAGCUUAUCUUUUAGAACAAUGAGUACUUUUAGGUAAUAUAUUCAAAGAUUUGCCCUUCUUCUUUGCUAUCUUUACUCUUUAGUUUCUAUCAAUUCCUACCUUUUGGAGCAUUUGCAAAUGAUAACUUGAUGUAUAAUUAAUUUGUUAUUGCUGCUGAUGAUGAUAUUACUGUUGUUAUUAUUAUUAUUUCUAUUAUAGUUUUUGUGAUGUCGUGGCCGGAAUUUUGGUGCCGGCUCGCAACCAGCCCGUUGGAUGAGCUUUUUGUGGGCCUGAAAAUGGUUAUUUGGUUAUUGUAAAAUUUUAAUUAAACCCUGAAAAUGUUUGUCAUUCCAAAGGGGUUUAAAUAGGCUUGUGCAAUUUGCCUUUUUUUACCUUCAGUAUAUGAGAUACCUUAAAAUCCCCAGAGACAUACCAUGCACUAGGGAGGAAGGAAUUGUGCUUUAAUUGUCUUACCAUGUUGAGGUGAACUUGUGAUUGCGAGUAUGAAUGUUCUUUUUUGCUGUCUCAGUGGUAUGCCUUUUCUUGUCCUUCUCCUCCUUUUGGUUGAUGGGUUGAUGAUAUGAGUGCUGGUUUACUGCUAAUUCAAUUAUAUGUCAAAGCUCUUCUUGUUGUUGUUGCUUAGAUGACUUGAUGUUACAUAAUGUUGGUUUAGGUAUUGGAAUAAAAAGUGAACAUCUUUGUCAUCAGUAUUAUUCAACUUGCAAGCAAAUAGACAUUGGCACAAUAUAUGAUUAGUUGCAUGGUCCGUAGGUUUUGUAUCACAGAGUAAACUUUCUGCUGUAGCUUUUUGUUUCUCCCCCAUCUUCACCCACUGAUUCAACCUUCAAGGUAGGUACAGUUCAAAUCCUAGUAAUGUGCUAGCUUCUAUUUUACUAGUUUAUUUGUACUUUUGCCUGUAGCAUGUUCAUUUCAGCCGCUCUAAUAGUAAAAGUGUGCUUUGCUUACGUGUACAAAAAUGUGAUACUUGAUCUGACAAAACAAAACUUGGAAUGUUGCUUCUGCUGCCUCAUAGAUAUCCUAAACCCUUGCUGAUGUAAUUGUGAUAAUUUCAUUCCCUUCAAUCGAAAUAUUAGUUUAUGGCUCAAUUAAACACGUAUGCAGUAUGCACCAUUCUAUCACAAAAACAUAUAUAUAUAUAUGAGAAAAUGAAAAGUAAUGGCAUGGGUCACCCCCUUCUUUGUGCCCAAUCCGCUGACGAGUUAAGUGAGACCUCUCUAGUAAAGUUACCAUCUAGGGAACCAUCAAUUUUUCUUAACAUACUUAUUUAUCUCAAAUUUCUUUGUCUUUUCUAUUAUUCUCCAUUUUUUUUUUACCAGUUUUUGGUUUUCUCAGUAUGUAGUAGAGCUAGUUAUUUUACUAUUUUAAUGGCAACAAUAAACUAUAAACUGUUAUCUCAUGUAAAGGGAAGUUAGCAAUAUAUUUUUCAUGUUAUGGAUUCGAGUUCUAUAUGUUAGUUGCAACUGUUUUGUUGAGAGUCAUCAACUAAGCCAAAUAACUCUAUUCUUAAUGAGCUUGAUGUAUUAUUUUGUGCUUAGAUGGAAAUUAAAUUAUUGUACGAGUGUUGCCAUAUGUUGUUGGUGCAAAGAUGCCUUACAGAAUUUCAGUGUUCGUAAGUUGUUGCUUUUAUGCUUUGUGCUUAUUUAUUUUCUUCUUUUGUUCUUCUCUUUAUGAACUAAGCCACUGAUCAUUGGCUUUCUAGUUUCUUUUUCUUUUCUUUUUUCCAUAAACCAUGUAUCAUGACAAGAAACUAACAAAACUCUACAAUACAAUUUUCUUACUGCCUAAUAUUGCACUUCUUUGAGUCGAUUCCAUUUUCUUUUUAUUGCAAAUUUGAGAAUUCUACUAUCUAAUAUUGAUACAUUUGCGAUUUCUAAUAUGCAAUCCAUGAAUUCUAAUAUGUAAGCCAAGACGUGGAAAUUGAUGUUCAUGGUGGUGCAAUCCCUAUAGCUAUUAUAGAUUGUAUUGGACAAUCAGAACAUCUAUUUGAAGGGGAAAAAUCGUCUCCAGACACCCUCUCACUGGAGGGUGUCCAUUGCUGACAUGGAGGCUAGUAAAUGGGUGACAUGGCAGGGGUAAAAAUGGAUCUAAUGGCUGAAAACCGGCGGGACAAGCACCGGUGGUGAUUGGUGGCCAGAUUUUUGGGUAGUGUUUGGUGUUUGUUCCUCUCCUCUUCGUAACGACGGCGAAUUCGCCCAAAUCAGCCUUUGCUCCUUCCUGGUGCUUGACCGCAGCAGAGAGUUGAUGUUGAGGCAGAGGGCGUGAAGAAGAUCAUGGUGUGGCUCGAAGUUCAGUCUUGCUGCGAUGGUGGUUUGUGCUGUUCAGUCCGGUAGUGAUGGUGGUUUGUGGUGUACGUCGCAGCACUACAGCAGAGAGUUGAUGUUGAGGCAGAGGGUGUGAAGAAGAUCACGGUGCGGCUCACCCCAGACUCUGUCAGACUGGACUGAAGCUCGCCGGAGUCAGACUUGCGUGUAAUGUACGUGUAUAUGUGUCUGUGUAUAUAUGUAUCUGUGUGUAUAUGACGAUGGAGUAAGGGUAGAGAGAGAAAGAGGAGCAAGGACGAUACCGGAGUUCCUGAGAGAUAGAAUGGACGGUGGAGAUCCGGCGAAGGUGCAGGCCAUCAAGUUGUGGACAAGUAGGAAUCCGCUCUUCUGCAAAUCCACGAGCACCACCGGCCGCCGUGGCUCCACUGCGGCAGCUCCAAUUUCGGAAUCGGUGGCAUAAUUCUCAACCCCAAUCACAUCACAAAAUGCAUAAAUGUUGAAUUGGGAGAAGGGGUAUUUUGGAGAUUGGAAAUUUUUUUUGUGGUGCACUGGUGUUGCCGGCGGUUGCGGUGGUGGUGAAGGAGGACCGGUGGUGAGGAUGGUUUUGGUAUAUUGUAUUUGUAUAUGGACAUUGAGAGGUGCCAUGGAGAGGAUUACUGCCCCUAUUUGAAUGGAAUCAAAGAAGUGACGCAUUGGCACAAGUGGCGUUUCCUGGAUAUAAAUAAAGAAGAGGAAAUUUGAUGCAGUCAGUCCUUGUUUUGCUUUGUCCUUUUUUUUUUUUUUUUUUUA